rnacentral:rRNA from 1 species
AUUGAACGCUGGCGGCAUGCCUUACACAUGCAAGUCGAACGGUAACAGCACUUCGGUGGCUGACGAGUGGCGAACGGGUGAGUAAUACAUCGGAACGUGCCCGAGAGUGGGGGAUAACGCAGCGAAAGCUGUGCUAAUACCGCAUACGAUCUACGGAUGAAAGCAGGGGAUUCGCAAGGACCUUGCGCUCAUGGAGCGGCCGAUGGCAGAUUAGCUAGUUGGUGGGAUAAAAGACUUACCAAGCCGACGAUCUGUAGCUGGUCUGAGAGGACGACCAGCCACACUGGGACUGAGACACGGCCCAGACUCCUACGGGAGGCAGCAGUGGGGAAUUUUGGACAAUGGGCGAAAGCCUGAUCCAGCCAUGCCGCGUGCAGGAUGAAGGCC